rnacentral:ribozyme from 1 species
UGCCCAGCAACUCCUAUCCCUACCUCCUCGUGGUACCGGCUGGAAACUACGAGCAACCUAAGGGGAGAUCGGGUAGCCAACCCCGGUGGGAACUUUGGUCGUAGGCUGACAGGAAAGG